GCAUAGUCUUGAUGUAGCACAUUAGCUGGGUUACUGUGGAUACUGUUCUCCUUCAGUACUGAUUUCUUCAUCUGUAAAAUGGGAUUAUAGCAGUGCUGUUUGAUAAGGUUGUGAAGGUUAAAGGAGGUAAUAAUUUUAAAGAACUUAGUGUGCACAGUUUGCACUUGAUGAAUGUUCACAAUAUCAUUAUUACAUCUUUGUUAUUAAAAGGGUGAGUGUUCUCUGUUAGUCAGCUUUGUGUGACUGUGACCAAAAUAUCUGACAAGCACAAUUUUUAAGGAGAAAAGCUUAUUCUGGUUGACUAUUUCUGAGGUUUUGUCCAGUUUAGGAGGCUCCAAGCCAGAAAUAUGAUAGCCAAAGGGAAUAACAGAGCAAAACUUGUGGCCAGGAAGCAGAGAGAAAAGAGAUAGGAAGGGGCCGGGGUAAAAUUAUUUCCCACGGCCCUGCCCCAGUGACCUACCCCCUCCAGCCAUGCCUGAUGCCUACAGUUACCACCCGGUAGUCUAUUCAAACUAUUAAUCCAUCAAAUGGAUUAAUCCAUUGAUGAAGUUACAGCCCUCAUGAUCCAAUCUUUUCAUCUCUGAACCUAGCUGCAUUGUCUAAAACAUGAGCACUUUAGGGGACAGUUUAGAUCUAAAUCAUAACACUCUUGAAGGCACUUUUUAUUUUCAAAUAGGCAUAGGGUCUUAUUUUGACAGGCAGGUGGAUCCCUCUACCUCCUACUCUGCUUACCUUGCUGUUGAGCCCUUCCUCUGCACGUGAGGCAUUGGAUCCCUUCCAGCC
rnacentral:lncRNA from 1 species